GUUUUCCAUUCUUCCUUGACAUUUGACUAUUUGCAGAGCUUUCUCUUCUGUUUGUUCUUGUGUGACUCACUUAUCGGCUGUCAUAGGCCCAUGUUCGAUUUAUUUAAAUUGAAUGAAUAAGUACAUUAGGCGAGGCUGUCAGGAGGAGAGAGAAUGGGAACUUAUUGGGAUGACUGAUAAGUCAACACUCUGCAAUAGAGAUUCUCAGCAAAACUGCACAAAUCAAAACGCUAAAUGGAGGCAAGGAGACAGCCCAGGGCCUCCAAAGGCAGGAUCCUAAGGCUCAGAGAUCCUACAGCUCACCUGAGGCCACAGAACCCUGGAAGCUGCAGCCCCCUGACCCCACUCCCUCAACUCUCUCCUCUCCUCUGCCACCUGGAAAGCAGAGUCCCAAGGCCAGCCAUUCUGCUGGUGCAUCUCUAAAUACAGGGUAGUGCAUCUCUUCCCAAUGAGAUUUCUCCCUCCCACAGAUUUAUCAACCAGCUACCUUGGUGAAUUCACAGAGAGGAUGGUGGCCCUUUAACACAGAACUGCUAGAUGGAUGCUGAUAUGGUUUGGCUGUGUCCCCACCCAAAUCUCAUCUUGAACUGUAGCUCCCAUAAUUCCCACGUGUUGUGGGAGACACCCAGUGGGAGAUAAUAGAAUCAUGGGGUGGUUUCCCCCAUACUAUUCUCCUGGUUGUAAAUAAAUCUCACAAGAUCUGAUGGUUUUAUA
rnacentral:lncRNA from 1 species